CCAAUAGCGUAUAUUAAAGUUGUUGCAGUUAAAAAGCUCGUAGUUGAAUUUCGGGGUUCAUACGUUGGUCGGGCUAUUUGGUCUGUACUUAUGUAAUGGAUUCCUACCUUCUGAAUAACCGGCAUGCCAUUAAUUUGGUGCGCCGGGGAAGCAGGACUGUUACCUUGAAAAAAUUAGAGUGCUUAAAGCAGGCUAUCGCCUGAAUACAUUAGCAUGGAAUAGUGAAAUAGGACGGCAUGGUUCUAUUUUGUUGGUUUCUAGGAUCACCGUAAUGAUUAAUAGGGAUAGUUGGGGGCAUUAGUAUUCAAUUGUCAGAGGUGAAAUUCUUGGAUUUAUUGAAGACUAACUUCUGCGAAAGCAUUUGCCAAGGAUGUUUUCAUUAAUCAAGAACGAAAGUUAGGGGAUCGAAGACGAUCAGAUACCGUCGUAGUCUUAACCAUAAACUAUGCCGACUAGGGAUCGGACGAUGUUAAUUUUUUAAUGACUCGUUCGGCGCCUUACG
rnacentral:rRNA from 1 species